GCCUUUGGUGCAAAGGGUCAGUGCAUCUGGCUGUUAAUCAGAAGGUUGGUGGUUAGAGCCUACCCAGGAACU